rnacentral:rRNA from 1 species
GAUGAACGCUGGCGGCGUGCCUAAUACAUGCAAGUCGAGCGACCACAUAAGGAGCUUUCUCCUUUGACGUUAGCGGCGGACGGGUGAGUAACACGUGGAUAACCUACCUCUAAUACUGGAAUAACUCCGGGAAACCGGUGCUAAUACCGCAUAAUAUUUAGUACCGCAUAGUUCUAAAGUGAAAGAUGGUUUUGCUAUCACUUAUAGAUGGACCCGCGCCGUAUUAGCUCGUUGGUAAGGUAACGGCUUACCAAGGCAACGAUCCGUAGCCGACCUGUGAGGGUGAUCGGCCACACUGGAACUGAGACACGGUCCAGACUCCUACGGGAGGCAGCAGUAGGGAAUCUUGCACAAUGGGCGAAAGCCUGACGGAGCAACGCCGCGUGAGUGAUGAAGGUCUUCGGAUCGUAAAGCUCUGUUGUUAGGAAAGAAAAAAAGUGUAAGAAACCGUGCAUGUUUUGACGGUACCUAAUGAGAAAGCCACGGCUAACUUCGUG